GAGAACGCUAAGGUAGAAAGCAGAACACAGUAGGGAAGGCAGUACUGGGGGUGGAGAGUACUGUGCAGGAGGGAGUACUUGGGGUGGAGAGUACUGUGCAGAAGGGAGUACUGGGGUGGAGAGUACUGUGAAGAAGGGAGUACUGGGGGUGGAGAGUACUGUGCAGAAGGGAGUACUGGGGGUGGAGAGUACUGUGCAGAAGGGAGUACUGGGGGUGGAGAGUACUGUGCAGAAGGGAGUACUGGGGUGGAGAGUACUGUGAAGAAGGGAGUACUGGGGGUGGAGAGUACUGUGAAGAAGGGAGUACUGGGGGUGGAGAGUACUGUGCAGAAGGCAGUACUGGGGUGGAGAGUACUGUGCAGAGGCAGUACUGGGGGGGAGUACAAGGAUUAUGGAGG
rnacentral:lncRNA from 1 species